rnacentral:lncRNA from 1 species
GCACUGUUUUAAAAAGGGAAGAGAAGGUGGGGCAUGCACACAAAUUUUUUAGAGAAAGGGUGGCAUGAGAAAGGGCCUCUGCGUGAGAAAAGAAAAGAAAAGAAGAGAAAAGAAAAGAAACAGAAAGGGCGCAAAGUUUUUUUUCUGAGAGUACCCUAGGGUUUCUGCCUAGGGUUCGAGAAGUGAGAAGAUGAGCUACGAGUGUCGUGAGUCCAUCAAACUUCAGAGAGAACUUCAUCAACCU